GGUUAGAGCACAUCACUCAUAAUGAUGGGGUCGCAGGUUCGAGUCCCGCCGUAGCC
rnacentral:tRNA from 1 species